GGCGGUUCUCAGGUGACGCACCCCGGAAUUGGGUUCCCUCCUCUCUGGUUCCUAGUGUUUCACCCAAGAACCACA
rfam:Myotis lucifugus cont2.7306, whole genome shotgun sequence.